rnacentral:rRNA from 1 species
UGGGGAAUUUUGCACAAUGGGGGAAACCCUGAUGCAGCGACGCCGCGUGAUUUAGAAGGCCUUCGGGUUGUAAAAAUCUUUUCUAUGGGAAGAAAAUGACAGUACCAUAGGAAUAAGGACCGGCUAAUUACGUGCCAGCAGCCGCGGUAAUACGUAAGGUCCGAGCGUUGUCCGGAAUCAUUGGGCGUAAAGGGUACGUAGGCGGGUAAGCAAGUUAGAAGUGAAAUCCUAUAGCUCAACUAUAGUAAGCUUUUAAAACUGCUCAUCUGGAGGUAUGGAAGGGAAAGUGGAAUUCCUAGUGUAGCGGUGAAAUGCGAAGAUAUUAGGAGGAAUACCGGUGGCGAAGGCGACUUUCUGGCCAUAACCUGACGCUGAGGUACGAAAGCGUGGGUAGCAAACAGG